AGCGAACGCUGGCGGCAGGCCUAACACAUGCAAGUCGAACGGACCCUUCGGGGUUAGUGGCGGACGGGUGAGUAACACGUGGGAACGUGCCUUUAGGUUCGGAAUAGCUCCUGGAAACGGGUGGUAAUGCCGAAUGUGCCCUUCGGGGGAAAGAUUUAUCGCCUUUAGAGCGGCCCGCGUCUGAUUAGCUAGUUGGUGAGGUAAUGGCUCACCAAGGCGACGAUCAGUAGCUGGUCUGAGAGGAUGACCAGCCACAUUGGGACUGAGACACGGCCCAAACUCCUACGGGAGGCAGCAGUGGGGAAUCUUGCGCAAUGGGCGAAAGCCCGACGCAGCCAUGCCGCGUGGAUGAUGAAGGUCUUAGGAUUGUAAAAUCCUUUCUCCGGUGAAGAUAAUGACUGUAGCCGGAGAAGAAGCCCCGGCUAACUUCGUGCCAGCCGCCGCGGUAAAAC
rnacentral:rRNA from 1 species